rnacentral:rRNA from 1 species
AGGACGAACGCUGGCGGCGUGCUUAACACAUGCAAGUCGAGCGGUAAGGCCCUUUCGGGGGUACACGAGCGGCGAACGGGUGAGUAACACGUGAGCAAUCUGCCCUUCACUUCGGGAUAAGCCUCGGAAACGGGGUCUAAUACCGGAUAUGACCGCGCUACGCAUGUGGUGUGGUGGAAAGUUCUGGCGGUGGAGGAUGAGCUCGCGGCCUAUCAGUCUUGUUGGUGGGGUAAUGGACCUACAAGGCUUCGACGGGUAGCCGGCUGAGAGGGUCGACCGGCCACGACGUGGGACUGAGACGACGGCCCAGACCUCCGUACGGGAGGCAGCGAGGUAGGGGUAAUAGUUGGACAAGU